rnacentral:rRNA from 1 species
GAUUGAACGCUGGCGGCAGGCCUAACACAUGCAAGUCGAGCGGUAGCACAGAGAGCUUGCUCUCGGGUGACGAGCGGCGGACGGGUGAGUAAUGUCUGGGAAACUGCCUGAUGGAGGGGGAUAACUACUGGAAACGGUAGCUAAUACCGCAUAACGUCGCAAGACCAAAGUGGGGGACCUUCGGGCCUCAUGCCAUCAGAUGUGCCCAGAUGGGAUUAGCUAGUAGGUGGGGUAAUGGCUCACCUAGGCGACGAUCCCUAGCUGGUCUGAGAGGAUGACCAGCCACACUGGAACUGAGACACGGUCCAGACUCCUACGGGAGGCAGCAGUGGGGAAUAUUGCACAAUGGGCGCAAGCCUGAUGCAGCCAUGCCGCGUGUGUGAAGAAGGCCUUCGGGUUGUAAAGCACUUUCAGCGGGGAGGAAGGCGAUAAGGUUAAUAACCUUGUCGAUUGACGUUACCCGCAGAAGAAGCACCGGCUAACUCCGUGCCAGCAGCCGCGGUAAUACGGAGGGUGCAAGCGUUAAUCGGAAUUACUGGGCGUAAAGCGCACGCAGGCGGUCUGUCAAGUCGGAUGUGAAAUCCCCGGGCUUAACCUGGGAACUGCAUUCGAAACUGGCAGGCUAGAGUCUUGUAGAGGGGGGUAGAAUUCCAGGUGUAGCGGUGAAAUGCGUAGAGAUCUGGAGGAAUACCGGUGGCGAAGGCGGCCCCCUGGACAAAGACUGACGCUCAGGUGCGAAAGCGUGGGGAGCAAACAGGAUUAGAUACCCUGGUAGUCCACGCCGUAAACGAUGUCGAUUUGGAGGUUGUGCCCUUGAGGCGUGGCUUCCGGAGCUAACGCGUUAAAUCGACCGCCUGGGGAGUACGGCCGCAAGGUUAAAACUCAAAUGAAUUGACGGGGGCCCGCACAAGCGGUGGAGCAUGUGGUUUAAUUCGAUGCAACGCGAAGAACCUUACCUGGUCUUGACAUCCACAGAACUUUCCAGAGAUGGAUUGGUGCCUUCGGGAACUGUGAGACAGGUGCUGCAUGGCUGUCGUCAGCUCGUGUUGUGAAAUGUUGGGUUAAGUCCCGCAACGAGCGCAACCCUUAUCCUUUGUUGCCAGCGGUCCGGCCGGGAACUCAAAGGAGACUGCCAGUGAUAAACUGGAGGAAGGUGGGGAUGACGUCAAGUCAUCAUGGCCCUUACGACCAGGGCUACACACGUGCUACAAUGGCAUAUACAAAGAGAAGCGACCUCGCGAGAGCAAGCGGACCUCAUAAAGUAUGUCGUAGUCCGGAUUGGAGUCUGCAACUCGACUCCAUGAAGUCGGAAUCGCUAGUAAUCGUAGAUCAGAAUGCUACGGUGAAUACGUUCCCGGGCCUUGUACACACCGCCCGUCACACCAUGGGAGUGGGUUGCAAAAGAAGUAGGUAGCUUAACCUUCGGGAGGGCGCUUACCACUUUGUGAUUCAUGACUGGGGUGAAGUCGUAACAAGG